rnacentral:lncRNA from 1 species
UUUGCAUGCGCUCUCGUCGUCCUUGCGGUGGGCGGCGUGGGUCUGGGCGAAGCUCGGUGGCCGUUCGCUCCUCCACCCAUCUGCCUUUAGGGUCGCCAGGGAGCACAACCGGGUUGUGUGUUCGUUGCUCCCUCUCUAUCGGGGGAUCACGAGGGUCCAGGUGCGAGAUGGACGGAGGACCUCCUUCUGGUUCGACCACUGGCUCCCGUGUGGGGUCAUGGCCACGGCCUUCCCCGCCCUGUUGUCGCAUGCCACCUGCGAGGAGGCUACUGUGUGGG